GGGUCUAAACAACCCGAAUUUGGGCGGAAUCCUGGAAUAACUUUGCCGAUCCGUACGGUCUGGGUACCGACGACGUAUCUUUCAAGUGGUCUGCCUUAUCCAACUUUCGAUGGGUACGCUAUACGCCCUACCCAUGGUAGUAACGGGUAACGGAGAAUAAGGGUUCGACUCCGGAGAGGGAGUGAGAAACGGCUACCACAUCCAAGGAAGGCAGCAGGCGCGCAAUUACCCACUUCCAGAACGGAGAGGUAGUGACGAAAAAUAACGAGACAGUCCUCUUCGAGGUCUGUCAUCGGAAUGGGUACAAUUUAAAUCCUUUAACGAGGAUCAAUUGGAGGGCAAGUCUGGUGCCAGCAGCCGCGGUAAUUCCAGCUCCAAUAGCGUAUAUUAAAGUUGUUGCGGUUAAAACGCUCGUAGUUGGCUUUGCGGCCACAGAGAACGGUCCCCCGAAAGGGUGGUCACUGUUACUCCAAGCCUAUAUAUCUAGUUCGCUUUACGGUGCUCUUAACCGAGUGCCUAAAGUGACUGGAACGUUUACUUUGAAAAAAUUAGAGUGCUUAAAGCAGGCGAAAUCGUCUGAAUAAGGUGCAUGGAAUAAUGGAAUAGGAUCUCGGUUCUAUUUUAUUGGUUUUCGGAGCCAGAGAUAAGAUUAAGAGGAACAG
rnacentral:rRNA from 1 species